rnacentral:rRNA from 1 species
UACGUAGGGUGCGAGCGUUGUCCGGAAUUACUGGGCGUAAAGAGCUCGUAGGCGGUUUGUCGCGUCGUCCGUGAAAACUUGGGGCUCAACCCCAAGCUUGCGGGCGAUACGGGCAGACUUGAGUACUGCAGGGGAGACUGGAAUUCCUGGUGUAGCGGUGAAAUGCGCAGAUAUCAGGAAGAACACCCGUGGCUAAGGCGGCUCUCUAGUACGGUACUGACGCUGAGACGCGAAAGCGUGGGGAGCGAACAGG